UCCAGUACCAUGCACACUUUGUCACAAGCAGUGAAAGGAGAAGGGAAUGUCGCUGACUUGCCACAGUCUUUUCUUCUUGGGAUGGAGAAGAGAAGCUACAGGGGUGAAACAAGUCUUUUAUGACCAGCCAUGAAACGGGAACAUGCCCCUGAAACAGAGAGCAGGACAGUUGAACCUAAUCUAGGCUGAGCACUGGACUCUGCUAACAACUUAUUCAAUGCUCUCCAAACUCGUUCCCACCGAACUUGGAGGCAUAUUGUCUGUUCACCAGAAGAGGUCACCACACACCUCAUCAACGAUGAAGUGAAGAGGCGAGGUGGAAUCUCACAGGAAUGACCUCCUAGGUCUGCUGGAAGAAUCUUUCUCAGUUCAAAACAAUUUGAGAUAUGUGUUCUUCAUGCUGCCUGGGAAGGGUUCCCUUUCAUCCUUCUGUCAGAGGUUAUGAAUUGCAGAUCAAUGUAGCAGUUUUUCUGCUUUCAGUUGCUAAUUAGCUGCGUGCUUCACCAUACAAACCGUUCCAUGAACUGAAGCCCGACCUAGCUCUCACUGGAAGUCCAAUCUUUCUAUAGGCAGAAAAUAACACGUAGAUCAAUUAGAGCUCAGCCCAAAUACCAAAGCUAUCCAAUACAACGCAGUGAGUGUAAGACUUUAAUUCCUAACAGUUUAGUGCAAUACUGACUGCCACAGGACUAAAAAGAGUCAGAUGGUUUAAAAUCAUGCCCAGUUAAUCCAUGUUUUCAGUUGCGGUGUGAAUACAUCCAACUUGCCUGGGUAGAUAUUGCCACCUUUUCAAAACAACUGGGCAGCAAGAUACUGUUCCUCUUGCUAGAGAUGAAGCUUUGCCCAAAAGAGUUUCAAGUGAGGAUUUAUGGAACACGAGUACUUCUUUAAGCCUCUGCCUCUCACCAGGCAUUGACCAGAAGUCUUGUGCCAUUGCUCCAAACACCUCAGCUUGUUUUCUCUUUCUCUCAGGAUCCAUUUCACUAGAGUCUCGGAAAAUCCUGAAUUUUGUUUCAGCUGAUCCUACGGUGUUUGCCUAGUCUUCAUUCCCCACUACUUCUCACAUCUGUCUAAUACAAAAUUCUUCCCAUCAUCCUACCAUGAUUAAUCUGAGAAUCUUCUCCAGUACCAUGGCCUGUAGAGGCUGUCUGUGUUUUUCAUACCAGCUCUUGGCCAGUUUUCACAUUUCGCCUGCUUUAGACUGCUCCAUGACUAUUAUUUGCAUCUAUAACUUGAUCCAUUCCCUCUCCACUCUUUCCUUUGGGAGCUGACGAUACCAUGUGCUGAAGUGCGCUGAACCAAAAGGCAGUAGGACUUUGUGUGCUUAAGGUAUCUUGGGGAAAACAGUUUGCCUCUAGGUGUCAAAAGAACUUACAGCAAAAGGGUUAUAAAGAUCAGCAAAAUUGGCACAGAGCAAAGUCAGGGAUAUUUAGCAUCAAACCACACAGCAUGACAACUGAACCUAAAAAUGCCCUCAUGCAUGAAGAAAAAGCUCCUUUGGGAGAUGAAUCACUGACAGGGGGGCUAGGAACACCCAUUAAUUAAUCAGUGGAUGUUACAUUUCUCUCCCUAAUGCCAUCCAAGCACCAGCACUAACAGAUAAUGAGAGAAGUCAGACUGAUCUUUGCUGCUACAGGCCAGAUACAGAAGUCCCACGAGGCUUCUUUGUUUCUACACCUGCUGCAGCAGAGAUCAGAAUAGGGCUCAGCUCCUCCCCUGGCAAGCAGCAGCGAGGCACAGGGAACACCACAACAGCCAUUUGACCAGCGCUGAGCACAAUAUCCAGCUAUCCCCUCCCUCACUGCUGCUGCUUUCCCACUGAGCUACAUUAGUUUCAUCGAAAUGUGAUAAAUGUGCCUGACAAACCUAACAUUAAAAUUUUGCCAUCAAAAUCCAAUGCUCCAGAACCACCUACAACCUGCUACUCAAUGCCAGCUGGCUGCCCUCUUUGUCCUCAGCCAGCCUAAGCCCCAAAGGGCUACAGAGAAAAACAUCCCCUCUUCACGCCGAUCAAAGAGAUCAGUGAGCAUUAGUGAGAGGAGAGCAGAACAGCUCAGGCAAAGGCAAAAUGUGUUCUUGGGAGCUCAGACCACUGAAUCUAUCCUCUUACUGGGCUUCAGAGUCCCACAGAAAGUGCUGUUGCACAAGAAGAGGAGAGGAAACGUGUGCAGUGGGCCACUGUGGGACGACCAGCCCACAAGGAAAGUCCCUUACAAGUCAGCUGAGGGUGAAGUUCUAGUUGACUCCCCAUGGAUGGACUAUCGCAGACACCAGGAGAUGAGAGUUCCUCCCAGUACACAGUCCCAGUCAUCCCUGAGGUAGGGACCAAGUUCUCCUCUGGACUGUGCUGCCACAACCCGCCCUGUGCCCACUCCUGCACAGAGGCUUGGUGUCAGCACAUAACCUAAGACAAAGUCAAUGAAGAUCACCAGCCAAGCCCAGGUGCAUGAUGAUGCUGUGCACUGAAGCCGGCCUCAGCUCAGCUGUGAGACCACUUGGGAGAGGGCAAGGGAGAGGGGCAAUCAGGCAAAUGCUUGGAUGCCACAGCUAAAUGUUAAUGUCUCAUAAUGAGGGGCUCCCGGUGCCAGCUUCCAUCAAGGACUUGGCGAUCCCACUUUGACGAAAGCACUACAAACACGUCACUGUCCUUUGCGACAGCUGCAGAGAGCCAGGCAAUGCUGGCCUGAGCAAUCCGGAAGGAGGGAAAGGCUGAAAGGGGUCACUGAGCUUGGAAAUGGGAGGAUAAUGAAUUACUGCAGCAGUGCUCUAAUGGCAUCUAUCUAAGCGUGCCACACGCUAUCAACUCCAGAGCUCAGCUUCCUCACAGCAGCCUGUGGAAAUGAGGCAGAUACAUCCCCCAAGGAACAGCACACCCUCAUCCUACUCUUCAAAUAAGAGUAUCGUUGCCUGUACAGGAGAAAUAUCUCAGUAAGCAAAGAAACAAUUUACUGCUGGAGAUGAGUUACGCUUACCAAUAUUCUUGCUACUUCCUUCCACCCCUACACAGAGGAUUUGCCACACAAAUGAACACCUAAAUCAUUUCAGUAAUAGGCAGGAAGCCAUUUCCUGUCUCCCAAAUAUUUUCUACUGUCCUCAGGGGUUCCCGCCUUCCUACAGGCUCAAGUUUGCUGUUGAAGUCUCGAUUUUAACUGCAACAUCCCAACAGCAAUUUUUGAAAUUGCUGUGAAUGAUCAGACCUUGAGUUUCAACGCGACACUGAGCCCUGAGGAGAUCCAGAAUGGAGAGCACAGACUUCUGGUCGAUGGCUUUGUUUCUAACUAUUUCUUCCCACUGUACUAAGUGUGAUUUGAACCCAGCUGGUGACUCGAUGGACUGAAGCUGUUCUCAUUGUCCAGGUUAUGCAGCACUAUGAAAUGCACUCAUGCGGACAGUUUUGGGAGAGGGAACAUCCUUUUGUUCUCCUUAUGGCCAGCAUCCAGUGGCCCAGCAUCAGGAUGAGAGGUAGUGACGUGUUGCAACAAGGAAAAUUCCAACCAGAUAUUAGGAAAUCAUUUUUUCUUUAAUAUUUUCAAAACUCAUCCAGACACUGAGCAGCUUCAUCCAAGUUGGCUCUGCUUUUAGCAAAAGAUUGUACCAUGGGCCUCCAGAAGUCCUUUCCAACCUUAAUUAUUCUGGUUUUACCAACGAAGUCAUAGAUAAGGACUCUGCAGGUGUAUCUAUUUCCAACAGUUACCAGAAAGAAAACUCAGAAGUCCCCCAAAAGAAGUUCAAAGAUCUCGAGGUCAAGAUUUAUUAUCCACAUAUUUGCAGAGCUGCGACAAGCCAAUCAAACCAACAAAACAGCACUAGGCUUUUUCAGAGGAGAAAGGAUGAGCCUGAAAAUGUCCUGACCUUCUCUUACUGUGAUGUUACACUCCAAAGUGCAGACUUCGAACAUCUAAAAUUAUGAUUUCAUUUUCUAUUAAGAUUCAGAUCAAAUGUGGUUUUAAUCCACAUCAACAACAAAGAAAUCUCAACAGCGUAAGAAUAUCCAACCUCCCAUUCUCUCACAGAGGGAUAUUUAAGUAAGCUGUCUCCCUAGAACAUCCAUUUCUAGAGACACCUAACAAUUGUGACUUAAAUUGAUCUGCAGACGAAAAAAUGCUGUAAAUGUUAAACCUGCUGGCACAUCACAGAAUUCUUUUUCCCAAGCUUUCAGUACCAAGCAGGCCCUUAACCUCAAAGAUCAGAUGAAAAGUGCCAGAUGGUCCCUCGUUUCCAUUUCCUCCACAGAGAUUCAGCUUAAUGGCCUUUAACUGUCUGCACCACGUGUGGCGCAGAAAAGUGCAGUGAAAGAUCAAGAUGUAUUAUUGCAUACCCAAAAAUAUUUCCAUUUUUCAAUGGAGCCAAAUUUCAAGCCCCUACGAAACAAGUAACUUAGCAGAUUUUAUUGCUGCUCUUCCCCAAUGCCCACAAAACAGAAAAAGGGUCAUCUCUAGGUAUGAAACCAACUCAUUAAAGCAGACGGAGAAUUUGGAUAAUCAGUUAUCUGUAUACAUGUUUAUCAGGGCGCUCACACAUCUCCCAUGUGCUUUUACACUAGAGGGAGGUCUGGCAAUGAAUUAAACACCUUCAAGACCCUGGCUGAGAACUGAUUCAGUUUCUUCUGCUCCACAUACACUUACAGAAUUCAUUCGGCUUGAAGUUGAUGCUUCAAUUAUUUCAAACAGAGAGAGAGUACAUCAAACACACAUUCUCAUCCCACAGCAUUAUAACGUCCGUGUAACUGUACGUGGGAUAAGAAAGAUAUUGGGGCUGUGCUUCGUUUCAGACUUAUUUCAGAUUCAACACAAGUUGUGUAUGAUAAAAUGAGAAAGAACACAGAGGAAAUGUUUUAACCUCGAUCCAGGAGAGAAGAGGCAUUUCUUCCUCAACUUAAGCCACUUAGAACCUUUUUGUGCAUGUCAGCCGGCUUUCAGCCACACUCCUUGCCACUCAGGCCAGUAACUAAUGAAACGUGUCACAUUCUUAGGAUUUGGAUUUCCCUUCUUCUCCAAAUCACCCUCUUUUGUCUCAUAGGUUACUAAUGCCAUGUUAUAAUGUUAAGUAACAAUACUUUGCUCUUACACAGCGUGUUUUACGAGGCCCCCAACCUCCUAAUUUGGAACUUCACAGUAACAAAGCAGCCAGGUGGACAUGCAGUGGAUGUAAUUUGCUUCCUGUCUCUUUUAAUAUUUCUCUCACAAUUAUUUUUCUCUGGAUGGAAAUGUUUAGUAGUCAACCCAAGGAACACCGAGCUAAGCAAACUGACGCGUGUAAGUGGCACCAAGACUGCAGGGACCUUCAGAUUCACAGCAACGCAAUGAUGCUGCAUUUCCUAAGUGAAAAAUGCUGCUUUUAUUCACCAUUAGAAAAGAGAACUACUUCCUCCCUCCUCCUCCUGGGAGAAUGAAAACAGAUCAGAACCUCAAACCAAUCCUUGCACUGGCAGGAACUCAAAAGGUAGACUUGGGAGGGGUUGGAGGAAGAUAUAAAGGCUGGUAGCUGGAGACACAGAGCGACACUGAACUGGAGAGACAAGAGGGGAGGAGGAAUCAGAGAUAAAAAAACAUGAAGAUGAACCUGAAACUUCUUUUUUGCCCUGGAUUCCUUCUGCUGCUUAUUGUCAGUCAAAACCAGGCAAGGCCCAGGCCCAUUUCCAGCUUACAGGUAAGUGACUGGCUGCUCAAUAGAACUGAAAGGAUCUGAUGCUUCUUUAGGACUGAGACACUCCAGAUUAGCUCCAUUUCUUUCAAACCCGGCUAAAGCAGGAGGACACACGGAGAGAUCAUGACAGCAAGAACACACAGUUAUUAAAUGGAGGGGAACUAAACUAAUCGAUUAAUGGAUUUAAAUUUCUGAUAGCAUGAGGCAACUGAAAGGAAAAAGCUUUUUCCUGUGGGGUCAAUUUAGUGAUUGCAGAUAUAGGGUCAUCCUGUGACUGGGUGAAGCAAUAAACUUUCACUGUCAAAGGAAUUUUUCUGGGAGGUCUCCUGUCUAGAGCCUGAGAGCAGUCACCUGCAUGCUCCUCCCUGAAGCCCCUGGUUUAAGCUGGAAAAGGAAUUAAUGGGUUAUACCUGCAUGAUCUCCUCCUCAGCUCAGUAGUGCAAUAACGCAGUCCCUGCUUCUAGG